CCUCGGGAGGCAGCAGUGGGGAAUAUUGGACAAUGGGCGAAAGCCUGAUCCAGCCAUGCCGCGUGUGUGAAGAAGGCCUUCGGGUUGUAAAGCACUUUCAGUGGGGAAGAAAGCCUUGGGGCUAAUACCCUCGAGGAAGGACAUCACCCACAGAAGAAGCACCGGCUAACUCCGUGCCAGCAGCCGCGGUAAUACGGAGGGUGCGAGCGUGAAUCGGAAUUACUGGGCGUAAAGCGCGCGUAGGCGGUCUGAUAAGCCGGUUGGGAAAGCCCCGGGCUCAACCUGGGAACGGCAUCCGGAACUGUCAGGCUAGAGUGCAGGAGAGGAAGGUAGAAUUCCCGGUGUAGCGGUGAAAUGCGUAGAGAUCGGGAGGAAUACCAGUGGCGAAGGCGGCCUUCUGGACUGACACUGACGCUGAGGUGCGAAAGCGUGGGUAGCAAACAGGAUUAGAUACCCCAGUAGUC
rnacentral:rRNA from 1 species